rnacentral:rRNA from 1 species
GGGACCCCAGGUCAGGCG